rnacentral:miRNA from 1 species
AUUUAGCGAGCUGAGUGGGGAGGAGAGAGGGACAGAGAGCCUGCUUGCUUUAAAGGAGCCAACCGGACAGGAGCCGCUUACACUCGUGUAAGCGGCUCCUCUCCUCUCCCGCUUUGCUCCUUUAAAGCAAGCAGGCUCUCUGUCCCUCUCUCCUCCCCACUCAGCGGCUCUUCUC